rnacentral:rRNA from 1 species
AUGGUCCUAGAUGCAAAGGGAUUUCAUUCUAUGGAUUUAUGGACAAAAUGCAUGUAUAAUAUUACAAAAACAUAUGAUAUUAUUUUAAUGCAUUUUUUAUUCCUCGUCACACACACACACACACACACACACACACACACUUGUAUGUAUGUCACCGCUGCUUUCAGAGAUGGUACUAGUGAACCUAUGAACAUUCAGUAUUCCUCAAAUAAAACUCAACCGUUAACUUUUAAGUGCACUUUAUUUUCAAAAAAUGUUUAUUCUAGAAAUACAAAAAUAUUUCCAUCCACUAUAUACGCUCUUAAAUAG